rnacentral:lncRNA from 1 species
CCGCCCUUGUAUCCCCUCUCACACUCAGAGACUCUCUAACCCUUCGUCUCCUUAGAACCUUCUGGUUCUCUCAUGGCCUUCAUCGCCAUACCAGCUCACUCUUCCCUCACUCAUCUCGAUUUUCAGCAACCAUGGCAUCCCUAUAUCGUGGUUUCCUCUCUCAAGCUUGAAGCCUAGCAGCUUCCGCCAUGGAAGACGGUAACUGAAGCUCUAUUUGGGGUCUAUUUCCGGUAUUUCUCCAGUGAUCUUUGAACGAUGAUGCCUUCUACGGUAUUGUAUACGAGUUUCACAGCCAGGUUCUUCGUUUCCCUAACCUUACUCCUCUCGAUUUCCAGUAACCAUGGCAUCCAUAUAUCGUGGUUUCCUCUCUCAAACUUGAAUCCUAGCAACUUCCACCAUGGAAGACGGUCACUGAAGCUCUAUUUGGGGUCUCUUUCCGGUGUUUCUCCGGUGAUCUUUGGACGAUGAUGCCUUUUACGACAUUGUAUAUGAGUUUCCAAGCCAGGUUCUUCGUUUCCCUAAUCUAUUUGAAAACCAUAAUUUUUCUCAUCAAUCUCGAC